GAGUUUGAUCCUGGCUCAGAUUGAACGCUGGCGGCAUGCCUUACACAUGCAAGUCGAACGGCAGCACGGGAGCUUGCUCCUGGUGGCGAGUGGCGAACGGGUGAGUAAUGCAUCGGAACGUAUCCUGGAGUGGGGGAUAACGUAGCGAAAGUUACGCUAAUACCGCAUAUUCUGUGAGCAGGAAAGCGGGGGACCUUCGGGCCUCGCGCUCUUGGAGCGGCCGAUGUCGGAUUAGCUAGUUGGUGAGGUAAAGGCUCACCAAGGCGACGAUCCGUAGCAGGUCUGAGAGGAUGAUCUGCCACACUGGAACUGAGACACGGUCCAGACUCCUACGGGAGGCAGCAGUGGGGAAUUUUGGACAAUGGGGGCAACCCUGAUCUAGCCAUGCCGCGUGAGUGAAGAAGGCCUCGGUUGU
rnacentral:rRNA from 1 species